rnacentral:lncRNA from 1 species
GUGCGCCUGCCUGCCUGCCACCCACAUACGUAAUAUUAACUUUUGUCAAAUACUAAAUCUGUUGUCAGAUCUGGCCUUAUCUUCUCGCUGCCUGGAUCCAAACCCUAGCCUAGCCUAGCCGCCUCUCUCUCCUGCUCCUCUCCUCUCCUCAGAUCUCCGACCACCACCACGGAAGGAUCCAUGGGCUCACCCUUCCUUCCUUGCAACCAACCCCCUGCCACCGUGCACCCUUCUUCCAUGGCGAUGGCGAUGGCGAGAGAGAUGGAUCUAGCCCCGCCGAAUCGAGACGCAUACCCGCCUCGCUGGCCGGACGGCAGCAACGUACCUCCCCUCACCCCGUCCAUGUCCAGAUGGGAAACAGCACGGUGGCGACCGGAGACUCUCACGGCGCUUGUUCCUCUUAUGGAUGGAUGGGUGACAGGGUGAGUCCUCUGCUUCUUCUUUCAUCCGACGAAUCCCCCCUCUAAUCUAAGAAAGAAAACGAAUCCAUCCUUACCGGCCGCCAUGUUUCUACUGUCUCGUCUUGCAGGUUGGUUGGAUCUCUCUCUAUUUUAUGUUACACUAGUAUUACAGAUGGAUAUUUCCCAUCGAUCGAGUAAAACGAAUAUCCCAGCCGCAUCAGGCCCUGUUAGGCCGUCUCCUCUCCUGUGUAUGUAUGUGCAGAGCUUUUUGUUUUUGUUUUAAUCUUCUGUAUUAUGUAUAUCACCGGAGGACAAAGCAAAAGAAAAUAAAUGCUUCUUCAGAAGAAGAUUCACCAGAGUACUGUUUUCAGGCUGUUUGGAUCUGUGGGAGCUUUUCCUAAAAGGAUUUCAAACUCUUUGGGAUUUUUCCCAAGAAUUCAUGCAGUCUAUUGUUUUUUAAGAAAAUAAAAAUCACAAACCUCUCCUUGCAAUUCCUUUAUUACUUCUUUUGGUGGUGUAUAAAACACUCUUUGAUGAGUUUUUUCUUUUGCCACACCCCUUAGUACCACUUAUAGUUAUAUAGGCCCCCUAAUUAAUACAGAGAUAACAAUCCAAAGUACAUUUUGUUUGCCUAGCUCUGUCGCUAAGCCUUUUGAUCUUAGCACUUGUCCUCACAAACUUUAGUGUCAUUGUUAGUCCACUUUUCGCCAGUGCUAAGGUGAUAUGAGGGUACGUGCUAAGAUUAAAAAACUUAGUGUCCGAUGCUAUGCUAGAUUAAUCUUAAUUAGUUAUGGUUAUCCAUUUUAGUUAGAGAUGUAUUGUGUCGGUGUUAGAGAUGUCGAAGCUCCACUCGCUGAAGAGACGCUUGGGGAUGGAGUAAUCUAGCUAGCAUUUGAGUCAUAUACUUUUGGUUGUGAUUUUCAUUGCUUUGAUUCGAUUUUACUUUUUUUAGCCUAUAUAUAAGAACGUUAAGUAAGAACGUGUUGCUUUGAUUUGGCUUUCUUUUUAUUAAUUUUGUGUAUGUGCUUCUAUUAGGAUGAUUUUGAUUUUUUUAAUCAAGUGAACCAAACACAUAAUAGGUUGACAAAAUUGAUGUGUCUAAUAACCGUUCUGCAGGCCUGGUUCAAACCAUCCCUUUGUUUGUCAGGUUUAUUUGUAUGUGCUCAUCUUUUGGGGAUGUGCGCACAUGGAGGUAGGGUCGGCCUGCCCCCAUUUUUUCAUUUUGGUAGCUGUCGUGUCGAUGCCCAAGCUGUCCACUCGAAAUGAAUGAAUGGAGGCUGUCCACUCGUUUUCUCUCUAGAUCAGAUCCAUUGAGUUUUUUUUUGCAGUAUACAUACUGUAAGCAUGCAUGUUCUUCAGGUAAGGACCUUGGAUUCCUUGGCAUGUUGCUCUCUACCAUCAUUGUUCAGCCAUGUAGACCCACCACCACGCCGUUGGGUUGGAUUUGCUCUCUCUCUUUUUCUCCUACUCUCAGAGUUUUUUUUAAAAAAAGUACUUGAGAUUACAAAAAAUAUUUAUGUUUUUAACCGUAAUACUUUUUCCGUGUUGUUUUGAUUUGACUAGUCUGUACUGAUAUUCUUGUGUAUGUACUGAAUUUUCCCAAACAAUUGAGGUUACAACAUUUAUCUUGGAGAAGAUAUGCUUGUGAAGAGAGUGAUUAGUUAUCAUUUGUGUUGGUUAAUGCAAUGGCAGAUGCUUGCAUGCUAGUAGUAGUGUAUGUCCUUUGGUCUUGAUUUUUAUAUUCCAGUGAACAAAGAAACCUAAUUUACCAAAAUUUAUGUGUCUUUUCAUUUUGCAGGCUAUCAUAUUCGUGUAAUUUUAUCAGUAUUUCUUUUGUUGUUUGUCACCUUUCGUGCCUAGUUGUGAUAUGUGGUAUGUGCUACGAUUAAAAAUCCGUGUUAUACAUAUGUUUAAGAUACCAAAGGUAGGUGUUUUAGUUUUAAAUAUUCUUGUGUUUCUAUCAAGAUUUCGAGUUCCUUAACUCAGUGAACCAAACACAUAUGUUCCAAAAAUUAAUGUGUAAUUUUGUUCUGCAAGUGUGUUUCUUCAUAUUCAAAAGUAUUUUUUCUCCUCCGAAUCCUACAAAUCAAGUCGUCCCUUUGCUUGCGAGAUAGUAGUAAAUUUUUGUAAUGUUGCGAAUACUGCUUUUGUCAAGUCUGUGCUCACUUAAAAAAAGACUCUGUACUCAUCUUUUGGGAAUGCGCAAUGGAGUGUGUACCCGUGGUCGUAGGGUCCGGUAACAGUCGUCCCUCGAUAGGCUGUCCAUGUUUUUACCCUCGAAAUGAAUAGAGGCAGCCAGGCUAUCCACCUCUCUAGAUACAUAUGAAGAUUUCUUGUACAUUUUUUUUUGCAUGUUGAUCAGGAUCUUGGAUCCCUUGGCCUGUUCUGAUAUGACCUUGCUCUCUUUUGCUUGUUCAGGUAUGUCCCACCACUUCGGCAAGAUGGAUUUGCUUGUGUUUUAGAGGCCGUAUGCUCUGUGAAGGCCUCCAGCUCUGUUUUGUCUGAUGCAAAGCAACUUCCUUGAUCCUGGUAGUCGCUCUAUCAUCUCGUGAUUCUAUCAUCUUGAAAAGCAUUUCUUUCAUCCUUAUGUUUUAGAGGCUGCAUUUGAUGCACACUUGUGAAGGCCUCCAGCUCUGUUUUGUCUGAUGCAAAGCAACUUCCUUGAUCCUGGUAGUCGCUCUAUCAUCUCGUGAUUCUAUCAUCUUGAGAAGCAUUUCUUUCAUCCUUAUGAAUCCUACAAAUCAAGUCACUCCAUUGCUUGUGAGGUGUAGCCAAGAAGAAGACUAAAGUGUUGAAAUCACAGAAGACUAAAGUAUUGAAAUCUUCAUAUGAGUCUCACUUUUUUUAAAUCAAGUCGUCCCAUCGCCUGUGAGGUGUAGCUAAGAUACAACUUCAGUAUUCAGCAAGAUUAAAUAGCCAAGAAGAAGAGAGUGUAGUGUGGCCCUUCCUGGCACCUCCUCUAAGCUAAGCAUAAAGUGUUGUGAUACAAGUCUCAUUUUUUUUAAGAACAAGAAGAAGAAGGCGAAGGUGUAGUGUGUAGCCGUGCUCGUAGGGUCGCCCGCUGGGGAUUUCUUCUACCGAUACAAUAGUUUUCAAUUUCCUUACUGUACGUGUGUCUGGACCUUGGAUUCUUCUGGCUGUUUUUGAUAUGAUUCUCUCUUUCCCUGUGCAGGUAUGAAGGUGUACAAAUCUUGCCCAUGAACCCACUCUUCUUGGUAAUAAUCCUACUCUAUUGUCAUAGUUUUUCUUUUUUCAAGAAAGUAUGCUAGUUGUAGAUAGUUGAUUUAAACAAAGGAAUAGUCAAGAUAAACACCUCUAGCACUGACGGGGCAGUGCAUACUGAUCUUAGCAUCGACCAGUAAGCUUACCAGUGGUGCAAAGCUUAGCAUUACUAACACAGCUAAAUAAAUGUGAUGCGGCUGCUCUCAACGGACCACAUGCACCAUCCGUAACACCAAGUUGCUCAAUUCCUUACUGAACUAAGACUAGAGCUGUUUGUAAGCAAUCUCUAAGGAUCCACCACACGGUUUACAAAACGUUAGCACGCAGAUGCAGAUUAACAGAGCAGAAAAUAGUUCACUGGGUAUUCAAAAUUGCCGAUCAAGACAUUCUCUUGUAUGCUGGUAGCAAUUCUCUAGAAGUUGAUACCUUCAUCCUGCAACCACAAAGAGAAUACAGUUUUACUUUUAGGAAAAAUUCUUGUGAAUACUGAAGUUGUCAACUUCAUUAACCAGAUAGAUGAAAAAUACAGUAGGAUGUGCAGCAGCAGUUGUUGUGCACCACACCAUUUGCAUAAAGUGCAGACUAAGUUUGUUUAUACUCAGCUUGUAGUUAUAGUUAUAGGUUUUGUCUACGCCUAAUCAUUUCAAGUGCAACCGCUGUCACAGAAUGAUUUAAUGAGGCAAUACCCUGAUUCUGCACCUAUUUCCAAGAUUCUUAUGAGGCAAUACCCUGUUCAAGCUAAUUAUACAAAAGCGUGUAUAUAACAUAUUCAUCCUUUUUUCAGAAUCAUGCAAACCUAAUCGUCCCUUUGCUUUUUUAAAGUCUGCUCAUGAUUUUGGGAUGCUCACAGGGUUCCAGCCAAAGCUGGGGCGUCCCAAGGUCCAUAGCUAGGCUAGGCUGUCCACAAAAUGAAUGGAGGGUGUGAAUGGCUCGGGCAGAUAAAAUAUAAUGUCCAGCAGCACAGGAUGAACUGUUAUGCAACACACCACUACACAAGGUAAAGUAAUACUCCCUCCGUCCGAAAAUACUUGUCGGAGAAAUGCAUAAAAAUGAAUGUAUCUAGAACUAAAAUACAUCUAGAUACAUUCAUUCCUCCGACGAGUAUUUCCGGACGGAGGGAGUACUACAGGAAAGGAUUACACUUUACUUGCUGUCGGGUGGUAUAUGAUACAUCAUACCUGUAGUGGUGGGGCACAUAUGAUUCUGUGCAUUGAUUAGUAUUCUGGUUUGCUAUCUCGAGACUACUUUUAGUGCCUAAUGCCUAUGGUUCUUAGUUAUUACUCCCUCCGCUCCAUAAUAUAGUGCCUAUAGAUUUUUUGAGAAGUCAAACUUUGACCAAGUUUGUAGAGAAAAAUAUUUAUAUCUAUAAUAGCAAAAAUAUAUAAUGUGAAACUACAUCUUAUGAUGAAUCUAGUGAUAUAUGUUUCGCACUCUAGACGUAAAUAUUUUUCUCCACAAACUUGGUCAAAGUUUUGUGAAGUUUGACUUUUCAAAAAAUCUAUAGGCACUACAUUAUGGAACGGAGGGAGUAGUACUCGCAAUUUAUAUUUGACGAGGUGUAUACCAUGUUAAGCUAGCGGCUAUAAAAGUUUUGCUAAUUUUAUCACAUAACCUUCAGGUUACAUAUGCAGUUUCCAUAAAUAAAACCUGAUGUGUAAAUCAUUUGUUGUGCAAGUAUCUAAAUUCGUAGUGAUGGAGAUUUUCGAAGCAAAUCAAAGGCUGGCUGGCUACCUUUCCCUUUAGUGUCCCCUUAGCACAUUGAGCACUCUACUGAUGACUGGCCCAACGCUUCACCUGAAAAAAUAAAUGAAAAAUGGCGUCAAGUAAUGAUGCAGGUCAGCUUUUUGCAGCAAUGCUUCAAGGAGAAUUGGUAAAGAAUAAUCUUUCCACCCUUCUGGGAUUUUAUCAUGAUUCAGUCUGCACAUAGAGUAUCCUAUUCCUAUCUGCCACAUUCAAUCAUCUAGAGUAGGAUACAAUGUUCAUACUUUGUAUACAACAAUUAUCUGUCACUAUAAAUGUAGAUGAAGAUUUAAUAUACUUGGCUUCAGUUGUCCAAUUGUGUCAUUGUAUAAAAUACUCCCUCCGUUCCUAAAUAUAAGUCUUUUUGGAGAUUUCAAUAUGAACCACAUACGGAUGUAUAUAGAUGUAGUUUAGAGUGUAGAUUCACUCAUUUUGCUCCGUAUGUAGUCCAUAUUGGAAUAUCUAAAAAGACUUGUACUCCCUCCGUUCCAAAAUAUAGCGCGCCCACGCUUUUUGAGGUUCAACUUUGACCAUAAAUUUAACCCACGAGACCGACUGCGGCGGGAUCAAAAAUUAUAUAAUUAAAAACUUUUUUUGAAUACGAAUUCAUUGGUAUAAUUUUUUCGCCCGCCGCAGUCGGUCUUGUUGAUUGAAUUAAUGGUCAAAGUUGAAGCACGGAAACCGAGGACGCGCUAUAUUUUGGAACGGAGGGAGUAUUUAGGAACGGAGGGAGUAGAACUGUAUGUAGUAUAUUCAGUUUUUCAAUUGUUAUUUAAUUAAUCUAGUGAUUUGUGCAAGGGCAUGAGGUGUUAGAACUCGUUUGCAGGUUGAGGGAAGUAUCAUCAGCUACUCACGAGAGCUCCGAUUCUUAGGCCCUUGACCCUGAUCCCCAUGUUAGCAAUCUCAUUGCGUCUGGUUGAACUUUGCUUUAAAUCAAGUCUGCACAGGAGAGGGAAAUUCUGUAAAAAUGGUUGUUUGUAUGUUUGUAAAUCUUGCAAUUUUCAUUUUAUUUUGCACUCGUCUACGUACUUGUGCUCUCGGACAUGUGAUUCCAUUUGGGGCAUGGGCACGGUUUCAUUGCAGGCAGGGCAAUUGGACUUUAGGUGUUCCCAUAACAGUCUCGCUUGCUCUCUCUUCUCGAUAUACGCAGCCUCCGCCCUGCAGAGACAGACUUUGUACUGUUACCAAGACGCAGUGGAGAGAGGCAAAGAGCAGUGUAUUCUUUAACAAAGGCACAGUGCAUCCAACACAAUUUAGUAGCUAGAAAAAACUAAUCAUUAAUUAGU